rnacentral:rRNA from 1 species
AUGUGGCCGCCGUCGUCGCAGUCCUACCUGCCCCUCUUCGGUUCCAUCGACAACACCAUUCGAGUUCUCAAGCGGGGCUUAUACCUUAUCUCGUGUGACCUUGAGAGGGUGGUCAAGCCCAACGUCGCGACCCUGCGGGACUCGGGGCUGGAUGAUUGCGACAUUGCCAAGGCGUGCUUCGAUAAUCCACGCCUGCUCACCAGCAAUGUAGAAUCCGUCUGGGCAAUGGUGGCAUCCGCUGACAGUCUUGGUGUGCUCCGUGGAUCUCGGAUGUUCAGGUAUGCAGUGUCUGCUGUUGCGUUCCUCAGCGAGGAGAAGAUCGCCGCCAAGGUGGAGUAUUUGAAGAAAACCUUGAGGUGGUCAGAUGCUCAGGUCGUCAUUGCUGUGUCCAAGUUUCCAAUCUUGCUGACGAGGUCCAAGGACUCUCUGCGGAGCAGAUCAGAGUUCCUCAUCUCUGAGGUGGGCCUUUGUUUGUGCGGUAAGAUGGUAGGCCUUUGUUUCAGUAUUCGUGCCUAA